UACGAAGGGGGCUAGCGUUGUUCGGAAUCAUUGGGCGUAAAGCGGGUGUAGGCGGAUUGGUCAGUCAGAUGUGAAAGCCCCGGGCUUAACCUGGGAAGUGCAUUUGAUACUGCUAAUCUUGAGUGUGGGAGAGGCUAGUGGAAUUCCUGGUGUAGUGGUGAAAUACGUAGAUAUCAGGAGGAACAUCGGUGGCGAAGGCGGCUAGCUGGCCCAACACUGACGCUCAGACCCGAAAGCGUGGGUAGCAAACAGG
rnacentral:misc_RNA from 1 species